ensembl:snoRNA U3 Small nucleolar RNA U3
AAGACUAUGCUUUCAGGGAUCAUUUCUAUAGUUCGUUACUAGAGAAGUUUCUCUGAAUGCGUAGAACACCAGAAACCACAAGGAGGAGGCGCAGCGUUCUCUCCUGAGCGUGAAGCCGGGUCCUGGUGUUGCUUCGCUGCAACUGCCAUUUGCCACUGAUGAUUGUUUUUCUCUUCCUUUGGGAGAUUAAGAGGGAAAGGAUGCAGUCUGAGCGGU